rnacentral:rRNA from 1 species
GGAUGCGAUCAUACCAGCACUAAAGCACCGGAUCCCAUCAGAACUCCGAAGUUAAGCGUGCUUGGGCGAGAGUAGUACUAGGAUGGGUGACCUCCUGGGAAGUCCUCGUUGUUGCAUCCC